rnacentral:rRNA from 1 species
CGACCGCCUGGGGAGUACGGCCGCAAGGUUAAAACUCAAAUGAAUUGACGGGGGCCCGCACAAGCGGUGGAGCAUGUGGUUUAAUUCGAUGCAACGCGAAGAACCUUACCUACUCUUGACAUCCAGAGAACUUAGCAGAGAUGCUUUGGUGCCUUCGGGAACUCUGAGACAGGUGCUGCAUGGCUGUCGUCAGCUCGUGUUGUGAAAUGUUGGGUUAAGUCCCGCAACGAGCGCAACCCUUAUCCUUUGUUGCCAGCGGUCCGGCCGGGAACUCAAAGGAGACUGCCAGUGAUAAACUGGAGGAAGGUGGGGAUGACGUCAAGUCAUCAUGGCCCUUACGAGUAGGGCUACACACGUGCUACAAUGGCGCAUACAAAGAGAAGCGACCUCGCGAGAGCAAGCGGACCUCAUAAAGUGCGUCGUAGUCCGGAUUGGAGUCUGCAACUCGACUCCAUGAAGUCGGAAUCGCUAGUAAUCGUGGAUCAGAAUGCCACGGUGAAUACGUUCCCGGGCCUUGUACACACCGCCCGUCACACCAUGGGAGUGGGUUGCAAAAGAAGUAGGUAGCUUAACCUUCGGGAGGGCGCUUACCACUUUGUGAUUCAUGACUGGGGUGAAGUCGUAACAAGGUAGCC